GGCUGCAGUGGGGAAUAUUGGACAAUGGGCGCAAGCCUGAUCCAGCAAUGCCGCGUGAGUGAUGAAGGCCUUAGGGUUGUAAAGCUCUUUCGGCGGGGACGAUGAUGACGGUACCCGCAGAAGAAGCCCCGGCUAACUUCGUGCCAGCAGCCGCGGUAAUACGAAGGGGGCGAGCGUUGUUCGGAUUUACUGGGCGUAAAGGGCGCGCAGGCGGUCUUGAAAGUCAGGCGUGAAAGCCCCGGGCUUAACCUGGGAAUUGCGCUUGAUACUCUGAGACUGGAGUACGGGAGAGGAGAGUGGAAUUCCCAGUGUAGAGGUGAAAUUCGUAGAUAUUGGGAAGAACACCGGUGGCGAAGGCGGCUCUCUGGACCGUAACUGACGCUGAGGCGCGAAAGCGUGGGGAGCAAACAGGAUUAGAUACCC
rnacentral:rRNA from 1 species